AUAUGUGCAGAAGCUGACAAAUUCACUGAAACCACUGUUACAGGUUCAUAUUAUAGUGCAGUAGCGUAGUCCAACACUUGCUAAGUAUACCAAUGUGUAGCCAGUGGUACUCGGUUUAAGGUCUCCUUUCAUACACGUGCAUGCAAAAAUAUCUUAAUGUUCAGUUUCAGCAUUUUAAUAAGCAUUAAGCAGGACUUGUCAUUUCCUGUUGGGUUUUCAGGGAUGUGAUGAAGGGACAGCAUGUGGAUCCAGAAGAGGCUGUUCAGAUUCAUCAGGACCUUCGCCCUCACCUAUGAGUACUACCUGGAGCCGCCGGUCCGUCUCAGAGAGGCCCUGGAGCAGAAGGGACUGAAACCAGAAUCCUUCUUCACUUUGCAUCACCGGGCGUCUCGGAUUAUCGUCGCACAAGACGUCUUCGACUGAUGUCUGCAAAAACAAACAUUUCAUUAAAAAAAACUGAAGAUUUGAGCUCAGACUAAAUAAAAAUGAAUGUUUUAUGGUGCAUACAUUAACUGUUUGGCAUCUCACAGCUGCAGGAGUUGUAAAUACAACAGUUUGUACAAGGA